rnacentral:rRNA from 1 species
GAUGAACGCUGGCGGCGUGCCUAAUACAUGCAAGUCGAGCGAACUUUUGGGAGCUUGCUCCCAAAAGUUAGCGGCGGACGGGUGAGUAACACGUGGGUAACCUGCCUGUAAGACUGGGAUAACUUCGGGAAACCGGAGCUAAUACCGGAUAACAUUGAAGACCACAUGGCCUUCAGUUAAAAGGUGGCUUUUAGCUACCACUUACAGAUGGACCCGCGGCGCAUUAGCUAGUUGGUGAGGUAACGGCUCACCAAGGCGACGAUGCGUAGCCGACCUGAGAGGGUGAUCGGCCACACUGGGACUGAGACACGGCCCAGACUCCUACGGGAGGCAGCAGUAGGGAAUCUUCCGCAAUGGACGAAAGUCUGACGGAGCAACGCCGCGUGAGCGAAGAAGGCCUUCGGGUCGUAAAGCUCUGUUGUUAGGGAAGAACAAGUAUCGUUCGAAUAGGGCGGUACCUUGACGGUACCUAACCAGAAAGCCACGGCUAACUACGUG